rnacentral:rRNA from 1 species
UGCGAAUGGCUCAUUAAAUCAGUUAUCGUUCAUUUGAUAGUACCUUACUACUUGGAUAACCGUGGUAAUUCUAGAGCUAAUACAUGCUAAAAACCCCGACUUCGGGAGGGGUGUAUUUAUUAGAUAAAAAACCAAUGCCCUUCGGGGCUCUUUGGUGAUUCAUGAUAACUUAACGGAUCGCAUGGCCUUGCGCCGGCGACGGUUCAUUCAAAUUUCUGCCCUAUCAACUUUCGAUGGUAAGGUAUUGGCUUACCAUGGUUUCAACGGGUAACGGGGGAUUAGGGUUCGACUCCGGAGAGGGAGCCUGAGAAACGGCUACCACAUCCAAGGAAGGCAGCAGGCGCGCAAAUUACCCAAUCCCGACACGGGGAGGUAGUGACAAUAAAUACUGAUACAGGGCUCUUUUGGGUCUUGUAAUUGGAAUGAGUACAAUUUAAAUCCCUUAACGAGGAACAAUUGGAGGGCAAGUCUGGUGCCAGCAGCCGCGGUAAUUCCAGCUCCAAUAGCGUAUAUUAAAGUUGUUGCAGUUAAAAAGCUCGUAGUUGAACCUUGGGCCUGGCUGGCCGGUCCGCCUCACCGCGUGCACUGGUUCGGCCGGGCCUUUCCUUCUGGAGAGCCCCAUGCCCUUCACUGGGUGUGCGGGGGAACCAGGACUUUUACUUUGAAAAAAUUAGAGUGUUCAAAGCAGGCCUUUGCUCGAAUACAUUAGCAUGGAAUAAUAGAAUAGGACGUGCGGUCCUAUUUUGUUGGUUUCUAGGACCGCCGUAAUGAUUAAUAGGGAUAGUCGGGGGCAUCCGUAUUCAAUUGUCAGAGGUGAAAUUCUUGGAUUUAUUGAAGACGAACUACUGCGAAAGCAUUUGCCAAGGAUGUUUUCAUUAAUCAGUGAACGAAAGUUAGGGGAUCGAAGACGAUCAGAUACCGUCGUAGUCUUAACCGUAAACUAUGCCGACUAGGGAUCGGGCGAUGUUAUUAUUUUGACUCGCUCGGCACCUUACGAGAAAUCAAAGUUUUUGGKUCUGGGGGGAGUAUGGUCGCAAGGCUGA